CGUCUCACAUCACUAACUUGACGAUUUACCAUCUCUAUCACAAAUCAAAACUAAACAAAGUUAUAUUUACAUCAUAAAACUAAGACAAUUGGUCGAAAUUGGUGGCUUCGAUGUCCUUGCCACAACGCACCCACCCAACCUUGGGUGCCCCAAAAAUGAUGUAGGAGGCACGCCCCAUCUCCGGCAGACCGGAGUCUAUUCCUGGUGGAUUAGGAUCGGCUCAUCUCCCCGCCCAAGGCCGAUCUCAGACCGUCGCCCAGAUGAGAAGCGGUCAAAGCGGCAACAACAGAAGGGAAAUUUUUAGAGGCUUAAAAUUACAAGUUUUUGGCAAAAUCGCCGCACGGCACUAAAUUGGAGGCGUUUGCCAACCGGGUCGCCUAAUCCUGAGGAGCUCCAAGGGAAAAGAAGGGACGUGCUGAAAAGACGUAAUUGGACGCGCGGCUAGGGUUCGGAAUUAAGCCUCUAAUUUUAGAUUAGAUUUCACAAGUUCAACGUCGGAUGUGGUUGAAGCUGCAGCCAGAAGAGAAAAUCGCUAGCGGCAAAAUCCAGCGAGAGUCCACACGGAGCCAAUUGGUCCGGAGGAUAGCGCAGCGUCUGCGUAAGAGGGGCCGGAGGCGGUGCGUCGGUGGACUUAGAGAUGACCACGUGGUCAGAGCGGGCAUUCGUUCCGGGAACGGACUCAACGAGGGAAUCUCCGUAUCUGGCCGUCUCGGAGGCAGUUGCUGGAGCUGCUGACGUUGGAGGCUGCUGCUGCUGCUGAUCGCUGCUGCUGCUGUGGCUAAUGCUGCUGCGGAAGCUGAUCGC